AAGCUGAAAUUACUUCGGGGAUCAAAGAUCAAAGCGGGGUCUUGGACUCCGGCGGAAGGAAGCAGCUGCGGAGCAGAAUUCCACUCGCCUAUGGAACUUCUGAGAGACAGAGGACGAGAAACAGACAGAGAGAGAAAAUAUUGAGUUCGGGCUGAAGUACUAAUCAACGAUAAGAAAAUGCUAAAUAUGAAGAUGAAGAUGAAGAAAGCAAUGCAGAGGAAAUAGGAAAAGGAAUGAAAGGACUGGAUGAGGAUCCCUGGCAAUGGACGACUAGCAAGCUAGGAAGUGGCGUUAGAUAUAUUAUUUUAUGCAUUAUCUGAAUGUAUUUGCUUAAUAUUGUUUCUGGAUGAAAAGUAGCUGUGUAUUUAAGUGUGGUCAAUUCAAUUAAUUUCUAUAUAAUUUGGAUAUUUCACAAGUAAUAUAACAUUUUAUUGUAUCACAUAUAAA